rnacentral:lncRNA from 10 species
GAGUAGUGUGGGAAAUCAGAAACCACAUUCAUGGGGAAAUCUCUUAUAAAAGAAAGAACAUCCAACUGUGAAAAUGAAUAAAAUUAAAAGCUGUGCAAUACCCCAAACACUGUGAACCUUGAGAGAGAUGUGACGCUUUUAAUUUUAUUAGUUAUUUUCUAGCUUUUUCAGUUGUUAUUUUAUUUUAUUUUCCAGCUUUAUUGAGGUAUAAUUGACAAUAAAAAUGUAUAUGUUUGUAAUAUACAAUGUGAUAUUGCUGUGUAGAAGCUUGUCUUCAAUAGAAUUUCAUUUAUAUAUUUUUGCUUUUGUCAUGUAUGAUUUUAGGAUUCUAUCCAAAAAAUUAUCAGCCAGACCAAUGUCAAUAAGCUUUUUCCUAUGUUUUUCUUGUAGUUUUACAGUUUCGGGUCUUACUUUUAAGUCAUUAAUCCAGUUUGAGUUGGUGUUUGUAUAUGGUGUGAAAUAAGGGUCCAAUUUCCUUCUUCUGCCUGUGGUUAUUCUAUAUUCCAGCCCUAUUUAUCAAGGCAAUUGUCCUUUCCCCAGUGUGUACUCUUGGUACUUUUGUCAAACAUCAAUUGAUUGUAAAUGUGUGAAUUUAUUUCUGGGCUCUCUAUUCUAUUCCUCUGGUUUAUAUGCCUGUUUUUAUUCCAGUAUUAUAGCUUUGUUUUAUUUACUAUAGCUUUGCAGUAUAUUUUGAAAUCAGGUAGUGUGAUGCCUCUGGCUUCGUU